UGCUUUGCUCAGGCCAUGACUCAAGUUCUUCCUUCACAAACAAGGCAUACAUUGCUGCUUUACAUAAACCUUCUGGACUAAACUCAUCUUGGAGGGUCUUGCUCUUAAAUUCAUAGUAUCCAAGAAAGUCCUGACACCAAGUAGCCACAAUAUCAAUCAUCAGUUUGCAUUCAUCCAUCAAAAUGGAAAUACAAAAGAGAAAAUAGUUCAUACACUAACAAUGUAAAGUUUUUACAUGGAGAAUCACAUAUACACGUGUAUGAAUAAACAUGCAUAAGGACACCAGAGUGACCAGACACAAAAUGGACAUGGAGACACCACUAAUGUCCAAAGUACAAGACACCAUGACAUGGAUACAAGUGUGCAACUACAGGCACAAUGAAGUUCUCUUAAAGAUAGGCCAGAUUACUGGAUAUUGAAGCGGGGGGGCUUUCUUGAAAACAUGCAAACUGGCUAUGACAGCUACAUCAUGAAUGCCUCCCACACAUUCAUAAGGUGAACAUAAUUCAUGCACACAACAAGAACUGUCUGUAUUACAUAUUAAAUAUGUCAAAUAGUAAGCUAAAUGUUACUUUCUUUCCUUUCUUCCCUAAAGCGAUUAUGAUUAAGGAACAAUUACAAGUUACAACCAA